GAUGAACGCUGGCGGCGUGCCUAAUACAUGCAAGUCGAGCGAACAGACGAGGAGCUUGCUCCUCUGACGUUAGCGGCGGACGGGUGAGUAACACGUGGAUAACCUACCUAUAAGACUGGGAUAACUUCGGGAAACCGGAGCUAAUACCGGAUAAUAUAUUCAACCGCAUGGUUCAAUAGUGAAAGACGGUUUUGCUGUCACUUAUAGAUGGAUCCGCGCCGCAUUAGCUAGUUGGUAAGGUAACGGCUUACCAAGGCAACGAUGCGUAGCCGACCUGAGAGGGUGAUCGGCCACACUGGAACUGAGACACGGUCCAGACUCCUACGGGAGGCAGCAGUAGGGAAGCUUCCGAAAUGGGCGAAAGCCUCACGGAGCAACGCAGCGUGAGUGAUGAAGGUCUUCGGAUCGUAAAACUCUGUUAUUAGGGAAGAACAAAUGUGUAAGUAACUAUGCACGUCUUGACGGUACCUAAUCAGAAAGCAACGGCUAACUACGUG
rnacentral:rRNA from 1 species